CGAGUACGAGACGCUAAGGCGUCGAAGUAGUGUAUGUCAGACUUCCAAGAAAAGCUCGCAAUGUCAUAUGAUAAAAAAUGCCUGUACCAUAACCGACACAGGUGGGUAGGUAGAGUAUACUAAGGGGCGCGAGAUAACUCUCUCUAAGGAACUCGGCAAAAUAACUCCGUAACUUCGGGAGAAGGAGUGCCUUAUUCUAUAAGGUUGCAAUAACAAGAUCCAAGCAACUGUUUAUCAAAAACACAGGUCUCCGCUAAGUCGUAAGACGAUGUAUGGGGGCUGACGCCUGCCCAGUGCCAGAAGGUUAAAGAAGUCGGUUAGCAUUAGCGAAGCUGGUAACUGAAGCCCUGGUGAACGGCGGCCGUAACGAUAACGGUCCUAAGGUAGCGAAAUUCCUUGUCGGGUAAGUUCCGACCCGCACGAAAGGCGUAAUGAUUUGGAUACUGUCUCGGAGAGGGGCUCGGUGAAAUAGACUUGUCUGUGAAGAUGCGGACUACCUGCACCAGGACAGAAAGACCCUAUGAAGCUUUACUGUAACUUGAAAUUGAAAUUGGACUUUAUUCGCGCAGUAUAGGUGGGAGGCGUUGAUUAUAAUCUUGCGGGAUUAUUGGAGCCAUCAGUGAGAUACCACUCUUGUAAUGUUAGAUUUCUAACUUUGAAUCAUUAUCUGGUCAAAGGACAGUUUCAGGCGGGCAGUUUGACUGGGGCGGUCGCCUCCUAAACGGUAACGGAGGCGUACAAAGGUUUCCUCUGAACGGGUAGAAAUCGUAUCUAGAGUGUAAAGGCAUAAGGAAGCUUGACUGUGAGACCUACAAGUCGAGCAGGGACGAAAGUCGGUCUUAGUGAUCUGACGGUACUGAGUGGAAAGGCCGUCACUCAACGGAUAAAAGUUACUCUAGGAUAACAGGCUGAUCUCCCCCAAGAGUUCACAUCGACGGGGAGGUUUGGCACCUCGAUGUCGGCUCAUCGCAUCCUGGGGCGGUAGUACGUCCCAAGGGUUGGGCUGUUCGCCCAUGAAAGCGGUACGCGAGCUGGGUUCAGAACGUCGUGAGACAGUUCGGUCCAUAUCCGGUGUAGGCGUUAGAAUAUUGAGAGGAGCCUUCUUUAGUACGAGAGGACCGAGAAGGACAUACCUCUGGUGUACCAGUUAUCGUGCCAACGGUAAACGCUGGGUAGCUAUGUAUGGAGUGGAUAACCGCUGAAAGCAUCUAAGUGGGAAGCCCACCUCAAGAUAAGUAUUCUCAGC
rnacentral:rRNA from 1 species